GAUGAACGCUGGCGGCGUGCCUAAUACAUGCAAGUCGAGCGAACAGACGAGGAGCUUGCUCCUCUGACGUUAGCGGCGGACGGGUGAGUAACACGUGGAUAACCUACCUAUAAGACUGGGAUAACUUCGGGAAACCGGAGCUAAUACCGGAUAAUAUAUUGAACCGCAUGGUUCAAUAGUGAAAGACGGUUUUGCUGUCACUUAUAGAUGGAUCCGCGCCGCAUUAGCUAGUUGGUAAGGUAACGGCUUACCAAGGCAACGAUGCGUAGCCGACCUGAGAGGGUGUACCGCCAAACCGGAAAUGGAGCACGGGCCCGACUCCUACGGGGAGCAGCAGUAGGGAAUCUUCCGCAAUGGGCGGAAGCCUGACGGAGCAACGCCGCGUGAGUGAUGAAGGUCUUCGGAUCGUAAAACUCUGUUAUUAGGGAAGAACAAAUGUGUAAGUAACUAUGCACGUCUUGACGGUACCUAAUCAGAAAGCCACGGCUAACUACGUG
rnacentral:rRNA from 1 species